rnacentral:rRNA from 1 species
GUGCCAGCAGCCGCGGUAAUACGGGAGUGGCGAUCGUGAUCCGGAAUUAUUGGGCGUAAAGAGCUCGUAGGCGGUUCAACAAGUCGGUCGUAAAAGUUUAGGGCUCAACCCUAAAAUGUCGAUCGAUACUGUUGUGACUAGGAUACGGUAGAGGUGAAUGGAAUUCCGAGUGUAGCGGUGAAAUGCGUAGAUAUUCGGAGGAACACCAAUUGCGAGGGCAGUUCAAUGGACCGUGAUCGAAGCGGAGGAGAGAAAGCUAGGGGAGCAAACAGGAGUAGAUC